GCCCUCGUAGCUCAGGGGAUAGAGCAUCGCCCUCCGGAGGCGUGUGCGUAGGUUCGAAUCCUACCGAGGGCGCCA
rnacentral:tRNA from 1 species